rnacentral:lncRNA from 10 species
UAUACAACUGUCACAUAGAUCAUGAUAAUUUAGAGCAAUUUGUCUCAGCCUCCUCUGUGCAGUCUCCUGGUCGGUUCCACAUAUGCUCUAUUUCUCCUUAGUGCUUCUCUGGCACUUCAGGCAGAAGUAACUUAACCUCUCAAGGCCUCGGUUGUCACAGCUGUAGAUGGGGCACAAUAACUGUACACACAGGAUUGUGCAUAUGAAAUUAUAAAAUGUAUAUAAAGAGGUGUACGUGACAUUUGCAUGUAGGAAUACGUUAAUGAAUGUUGUUUGUUAUUAGUACAUUAUGAAUGCCAAUAUCAGUUAAUGCCAUUGCUUCUGGGUUUGGGGAAGCAACAGA